rnacentral:rRNA from 1 species
GUGUCAGCCGCCGCGGUAAUACGUAGGGGGCGAGAGUUGUCCGGAUUUACUGGGUGUAAAGGGUGCUCAGGUGGAUUUGUAAGUCAGAGGUGAAAUCCCAAAGCUCAACUUUGGUGCUGCCUUUGAUACUGCAAGUCUUGAGUUUGGAAGAGGGUAAUGGAAUAUCUGGUGUAGCAGUGAAAUGCGUAGAUAUCAGAUAGAACACCAAUGGCGAAGGCAGUUACCUGGUCCAAAACUGACACUAAAGCACGAAAGUGUGGGGAGCAAACAGGAUUAGAAACCCCCGUAGUCC